UACGUAGGGUGCAAGCGUUGUCCGGAAUUAUUGGGCGUAAAGAGCUCGUAGGCGGUUUGUCGCGUCGAAUGUGAAAACCCGGGGCUCAGCCCCGGGCCUGCAUUCGAUACGGGCAGACUAGAGUUCGGUAGGGGAGUCUGGAAUUCCUGGUGUAGCGGUGAAAUGCGCAGAUAUCAGGAGGAACACCGGUGGCGAAGGCGGGACUCUGGGCCGAUACUGACGCGGAGGAGCGAAAGCGUGGGGAGCAAACAGG
rnacentral:rRNA from 1 species